CCGCGGCGCAUUAGCUAGUUGGUGAGGUAACGGCUCACCAAGGCCACGAUGCGUAGCCNACCUGAGAGGGUGAUCGGCCACAUUGGAACUGAGACACGGUCCAGACUCCUACGGGAGGCAGCAUUGGGGAAUAUUGCACAAUGGGCGGAAGCCUGAUGCAGCAACGCCGCGUGAGUGAUGAAGGCCUUCGGGUCGUAAAGCUCUUUGAUCAGGGAUGAUAAUGACAGUACCUGAAAAACAAGCCACGGCUAACUAC
rnacentral:rRNA from 1 species